rnacentral:tRNA from 1 species
GCCUUCGUGGUGUAGUGGUCAACACACUCGGCGCGUAUUCGAGAGGUCCGGGGUUCGAUUCCCGGAGAGGGCA